CUACGUGAGGAACCCCCUUCGCGACGCUCGUCCUUUGCUCCCCCCACCCCCCGCCUCUCUCCGUUGGUUUCCCCCUUCUUCUUGUCGUGUGCAUCCUGCCCCACAGCCAUGUAAACUUUCCUACGUACAAAUGUUCAUUGCCCUCUUUUACAUCCCUCUGCUGACUGUGAAGAGGUCAUGCUAAAUCAAACUGAUGGAGAAAUUGGACAUCGUUUUUACCCAGGAUGCCCAAAUUAAUUCUACCAAAACAAGAGAGUUUUGGCUCUAAACUAUUCCACGGCUGCUACUGGAAAGAAGCAGGCGUCCUUUGGAGAAUAUUAGGACCUUUGGAGAGCCAAACACUUUUCUGAAAACCAAACACUUCUCAAGAAAAAGCUAUCAUGUCUGCUUGUAGGAAGGCAGUAAUCGAGCAAAGGAAAGGCUGAGCGGAAUUAGGCUGCGCAAUCUGAGAGACUGGUUCCAAAUGCAGCAGAAGAAAUAAGUCAGCUGGGGUUUCCAGAGAAGUCAGUGGGAGCUGUGCAUGAUUCUAAGGUCUGGUGGUAGUAUCUCCAGUGAAAAAUUCACCGUACUGUAACAACAGUGAGCAUCAUGAAUGCAGGAAUGAAAACUGGUUGCAAGCUAUAACCUGUCUGCAUCAAAGUCAGCAAGGAAAAGGCAUGUUGUACCCUGUAUUAUUUGUAAAGUAGAACAUGAUCGUACAAUAAAAGUCUUGUGUCAUAGUGGUUACACGUAAGGAAAGCACUGCAACCUUGAUAUUCUCUUCAUAUACUAGGCACAAUGAGCUACUUUUUUUUUUUGUAUGAUGUGUCUUGCUGUGCUAGCAGCCCCAUUGAAAUUAUGGAAUAAAAUGUAUAGGCAUGGUAUGAUCGGUUCUUUAAUAAUUGCAAAACACUCUAGGGUCUUCAGAAGAAGGAUGCUCAAGAACUGUGAAAUAGCUUUUAUUAGACCCGGGCAGGGGGGUGGUGAGGGGAUGGAGAAUGAUAUAAUGGGCCCCGGUUCAGAUGGUGCUUGUUUAAAUCUGUCACCUCUGAGUGGAGCACUUAAAGGAAUGUAUAAUACCAAGUGUAUGAAACCUUGUUGAAUAAGGUAAGCAUCAGCUGAGUCAGGUGUAUGCUUGUAUGCAGCUUGCCCUCUUCUUGCCUUUAUUAGUCUACAGCCUGGGAGAGUAGCUGCGAACAGGAUAAACUUGGCAAUGGAGCUGGUUUCUUACCCUGAUAAGUUGUAACAGACACAUGGGUAAUGUUGCCUGUUAAUUUAGAAGGCAUUUAACACUUAAUCAUGCUUGUCUAGUACAACCCAGGAAGGACACUGCUUUCUGCAACCUCUAAUUGGGUGCCAUCAGUAAUAUAAGCCUAAGAUUGUCCCAGUCAGCAACUGUAUUGCCUAAUCAGCAGGAAUGUAUGCCCAUUGGGGAUCAGACGUAGAUAAGCAGGAGAGAGGGAGAGAGAGAUCUGAACAUAUCUACGAGAUGAGCAGCAUGUCAGGAGCAUAGAGGAUGUCUAGAUUUAUGUGCUUUUUGGCAGCGCUAGUGAGCUAUUAAUCAUUUCUCAGGAAUAGGGCUCUUGUAAAUCAGAGGUAGGAAACACAUUUCAUGGAUAAUCACGGCAAAAAUGUCAGCUUUGCUAUUUGGUCAUAUGCUGAUAGGAUGCUUAGCACUGCAGCGGACGCAAUCACACACAUAAAAUCAAAAUAGUACUCUCAUGAUGAGUGGAAAGCAGGGAGGCCCUAGAUAGGUGAACUUUUCAUCAGUAUCUGAAAAGUAGGGAGCUAAAGUGUAAUAACAGAAAGGGAGACCUAUGGUGUUUUUAAGGUGAAGCUUUACGGAAGGAGCCUGGACUGAGUUCUAGUCAGCAUCUGGUUAUAACACAAUAAAUUUGAAAAGACACACUUUGCAUCAUUUUAACAGCUGGCUGAUCAGUUCAUGGUUUUCUUUUACUUUUAUUGCCCUGCAAUUUGCUGUGUAUGGCCCUUACGUGCAAAUACCUCAUUAGUCGCGCGGUUGCAUAUUUCAUGAAGUAUACUGAGUGCACUGUCAGAAUUAAAUAUUGUCAGGAUAACGAGCAAGGGUGGGGUGUUUUAGCUUUAUCACUGAAGUCAAUGUUCAGGCUGAAUAGAACAGUAAAAGUAGCUGGAAAGCAAAACACGGGAAAGGUCUCCCAGGCUUUUGUGUACUAGACCCAUUGCUCAAGGACUGUUAUUUAAAGAGCUCUUGGAAGCGAGUCCUGUGUGAGGGAGGUGAGGGAGAAAGCCUUACCCAGGGCUUUCCAGUGCAUUACUUGCUGUAACCAGUCAGAGCUGAAAAUCUCAGUGGCUAAAUCGGGUUCUUAGGUUAAAUAUAAUGGUGUCCUCAGUGCACUUUUGGCUGAAGAAAUUUCCUAAUGUUCAUUUCCUUGAGGGAUCAUCCCCUCCGCCCCCCCAGUUUGUUCCAUUGGCCUCCAAUCCUACGCCAUUUCUCUAUAAAUUAUCAACAUACAGAAAAGGAAAUGACAUGUAACUGUUGUCCAAGUUAAUGCUGGUUGCAUCUACACAGGGGAAUGGUUUUCACACAAGUCCCCUGGUUUUGGGUGCAGCCUUGGAUAGCACCCACAGGGGUCCUGCCCCUCGCAGGCGCUGGGAUGGAGGCUGCUGGGUGACUGUCCCACAUCGCCGGUCCAAACAUGCUGAAGUAACGACCUGUGGGAGACUUUUAACUGCAUUUCCUGGGAGUUGUGGGAAUAAAGUCCAGGCUUUUGAAACUCCCUGGGAAAUGUCCAUAAAUCCCCAUGAAUCACAACCACUUUUAAAGCCCCUUUCAAAUUAGAAGUCAUGGCUUUUGCUCAGAAAAAAUAUAUAGAAAUAGUGCUUUGAAAAAAACUCAUGAGUUAGCUUGUAAACAAAAGUAUCCUGACAGUGACCUGUGCCAGUGUUUUUCUGUAUUUGGGUUGGCCCAAGACAAAUUGGGUCAGAGGCAGGCUUGAAGCAGGGAUGUGCUAGCUCCAUAGACGUCACCCUGUUUGGGGGCAUCAGUGUGCUGAAUGCUGUAGACUCACCCUGAGAUUCCUCAUCUCUCCUCUUAAAUGAGAUCAACUGAAUUAUACUGGAGUAUUUCCUUCCACAGGGCUAGAACACUGGCUUGUGUUUUUAGGGGGAUUUUAUUAUUACUUUAAUUCUUGCCAUUUCCAGGGUUGUGAAGCUAUGUGGAUGAAUUUGUCGUCAGAUAACUUUUAUCCACCAGAAGGGGUGAUUUCAGCAUACUUGGUUUCUCAGGCAGUCUUAAUUUGCUCUUGCCUGGCAGUGGAGAAUCAGAGGAGAAAGAAGUUCCCCUCUCCAUCUCCCUCUUACCUGAAAGUCAACAUGUCCCAUCUACACUUCUUCAGAUUUAUGAUGUUUCUGUGGUGACUUCAGUUCAGGACAAUUAAACAAACAAACCAACCAGAGAACAUACUUCUUCCAAACAGGGUAUGGCUUCAUGAAGCAGAUUGCUCACCGUUGCCACAAUUCAGUCCUGCUUCUUUUUCUGCUCCUGGCUUCACAGUCCUACUUCCUUUGCACUGUCGUCCUUCUUGCUUGUCGUAUGAGGCUCUGUUAGUAUUUGCUUUUGCUGAGUUGUUCUUCUGCCUGUUCAGUGAGUUGAAGCAGCUCUGGGCUGGUAGAGGGGGAGCAGCAAGAGCACGUGUUUAGGAGAAGGGGCUAGGGAAGGGAGGGGAGGAGGAGCAGGGGUGAGAGAAACAGCUGCUUGUUUCAUUGCAAUAACCUAAACUGUGUCCUCAGCAAUGGGUUUGUACAAAUCCAGCUGAAAGGAUUUGCUGCAUUUGCCACAGGGGCACAAGAAGGAGGCAAAGUCCGUCUUUCAGUCACUGUGGUUUGAUAACCUGCUGUUCCAGUGCCCUGACAGACCUACAGCAGUGGUGCAAAGUCCAUCAGCAGGUGGUGGUACCCUGAUCCCUCUGCCUCUGAGGGAUGUUGCCCCACCAUGGCAAAGGCACUGGAUCUGCACAGGAAUCAGAUUCUGAGCCCAUGUGGCUUGGAGUGUUGCUCGGCGUAGUCCUGAUUAGCCACGAAGGACACCUGCUACUUUUUGUUUCAGUUUCACAUGUCUUGGGAAUGCGUGUGUGUCUGCCUCUCAGACCCAUUAUCUUUAGCAAAUAUUACUCCACAGCACUUUUAAAAGUGAUUCUGAUACUUCCAAUGACUUGUUACUUGGGUGCCAAAUAGAAUAGGUACAGCAGGAUAUUUUUCAUCAAGUUCUUAUUAAAAAGAAUGUAAAAAACCAUUAAUUGAUACUAAGUCAUAAAGAUCUGGGCCUCCAGUUAUUCUCAGAGCCCUUAGGGUGAAAUUAACCCUCAAGUAGAGGCUUUUUAAAGGCUUUUACAGCAUUCCAGUCCUAUAGGGGGUCUGAAUAAAGAUGUAUUAUGGAACAAUUUUACUGUAUAAUUUUCAAGUUCAGUGUCUGCCUGGAUCUUUUCAGUGUUGAGCUGACUAUGAUCCCUAAUUUUGGACAGAUUGAGAGUUCCAAUGUAAAACCACAUUAAUAAAUUUGUCAACUUGAUAAAAACUUGACCCACAAUAAAGCAAUACUUGAUGUUAAGUGUAUAUAGUAUGUAAAUGUUUAUUAUCUACUUAUUAUAUAUGAACCUGA